UACGUAGGGUGCAAGCGUUGUCCGGAAUUAUUGGGCGUAAAGAGCUCGUAGGCGGUUUGUCGCGUCUGCUGUGAAAACGCGAGGCUCAACCUCGCGCCUGCAGUGGGUACGGGCAGACUAGAGUGCGGUAGGGGAGAUUGGAAUUCCUGGUGUAGCGGUGGAAUGCGCAGGAUAUUCGCAAGAACACCAGUGGCGAAGGCGGCUCAGCUGGCC
rnacentral:rRNA from 1 species